GACUUCCCGUGGAAGCCUUUAUUUUGGAGGGGUGCGCCUCUCCAACCAGAAGUGGUGUUAUUGAAGACGUACUCAAUUGGCUAAUGGACGCAUGGCGACUUCCGUGAAAACAAAGUUGGAGAGUGAAUAAAUGCGAAAUGCGCGCUGUGUUACCUGCUGCAGCGGAGCAGCUUUUACAAGAUAUCCAUAAAACUUACCAGGAAACGUCACAGAUUCCAGAUGACUUACUAAUUGCGCUAAGGUUCGUUUUCGGGCCCUGUGCCGUACAAGCUUUGGAUCUGGUGGAGCAGCACUCAAUCACCUGUCUGUCAUCUCCCAGCGGACGGAAGGCCUUCCAGGUCAGCGGAGGCUCGGGACGCCUGUAUACCUGCUUCACGUCCUGCCACUACUGCCCCUGCCCAGCCUUCGCCUACACGGUGCUGCGGAGGAACCAAGGCCUGCUGUGCAAACACAUCCUGGCUGUGUACCUGUCGGAGGCCAUGGGUGUGACUCCCGUGCACGGUGUGUCUGACCAGCAGAUGACCACGCUGCUCGGCGGCACUUCAUCACUGUGACGCCCACUUUGUCCCCGCCAGGGAUGAUGCAGACAUUGGUGGAUGAUGGUGCUGAUGCUGCAGAUGUACGUACAUCCUAUAUUUACAGUUCUGCUCGGGAGUCGGAGUCGGAAGGACGGAUUGAUCCACACCAGCGAUGCUUCGCUUCCUGGAAGUCAACAAGACCGGGGGACGGCCGCCCACAGACCAAACCCCACGGCGCACCACGACCUCCACAAUCAAAGCUGACCACCCCUCCCCGAUCCCUGGAUACACACAUCCACCCCCCCCCCCCCCCCAACACAACCUGCCGCCCUCCAACUAGGACGAGAGACUUACUAAUCCGUUAAGUCCUGUACUCGUAUGUGUUGCGAUAAAUGUGUUCCCCGGGGGAGCGGAAUGGCAGGCGGACAGGAAGAGAUGUCGGGGGUUCGGAGUUGAGUUUCACCGUGUUAAGGAUCUGCGUCUGUUGUGACAUUCAGAGCUGCAAUAAAAGCCUGUUGUUCCGGUGGUCGGGUCUGGU